GACGAACGCUGGCGGCGUGCUUAACACAUGCAAGUCGAACGGAAAGGCCCUGCUUUUGUGGGGUGCUCGAGUGGCGAACGGGUGAGUAACACGUGAGUAACCUGCCCUUGACUUUGGGAUAACUUCAGGAAACUGGGGCUAAUACCGGAUAGGAGCUCCUGCUGCACGGUGGGGGUUGGAAAGUUUCGGCGGUUGGGGAUGGACUCGCGGCUUAUCAGCUUGUUGGUGGGGUAGUGGCUUACCAAGGUUUUGACGGGUAGCCGGCCUGCGAGGGUGACCGGCCACAUUGGGACUGAGAUACGGCCCAGACUCCUACGGGAGGCAGCAGUGGGGAAUAUUGCACAAUGGGCGGAAGCCUGAUGCAGCAACGCCGCGUGCGGGAUGACGGCCUUCGGGUUGUAAACCGCUUUCGCCUGUGACGAAGCGUGAGUGACGGUAAUGGGUAAAGAAGCACCGGCUAACUACGUG
rnacentral:rRNA from 1 species